UAGUAUAUGCUGCCUGGGUAUUUGUCAGCAUUAUUUUUAUUCUUAUUAUUUAUCCCAAUUAUGAUUAAGAUACAUUUUUCUACUUAUUGUCUGUCUUUCCUAAAUUAGAUCAUAAAAUUCAAAAGGGCAGGGACCAAGCUUUUAUAUUUUACAAUAUAUAACCAGUGCCUAAAAUAAGCUCAAAGCUGAGGUUUUGAGCGAAUGAAUGGAUACUUCAGUUAAUUAACAGAGAGGUAACAGAAGAACCAGAGCUUAAAAACUAUGAGACAUUUUGAUGACUGGUUGGGACAGCAAGCAUUCACUGGGAAGUAACUCAUUUCCAGGCUCUGGCAUCGGGCCAGGAAGAAUCUGCAAUCCCCGUGGCUGAGGAACUCACAGAGAAAUUCCAGUUGUAUUCUGAGCUGAUGUGAAUUAUUAUAAAUAACAAGUUUCAAGCAGAGCCUUAGGUAUGACUCCUGUCCUUGACUGAUUUUCAUAAAUCGCAAUCUGUAUUUGAAUAAUAGAUAUUUUCAUUAACCACAGGGUUUCAAAUAAAUCACCUUUUGCUUUCCAAA